rnacentral:rRNA from 1 species
GAUGAACGCUGGCGGCGUGCCUAAUACAUGCAAGUCGAGCGAACGGACGAGAAGCUUGCUUCUCUGAUGUUAGCGGCGGACGGGUGAGUAACACGUGGAUAACCUACCUAUAAGACUGGGAUAACUUCGGGAAACCGGAGCUAAUACCGGAUAAUAUUUUGAACCGCAUGGUUCAAUAGUAAAAGACGGUCUUGCUGUCACUUAUAGAUGGAUCCGCGCUGCAUUAGCUAGUUGGUAAGGUAACGGCUUACCAAGGCAACGAUGCAUAGCCGACGUGAGAGGGUGAUCGGCCACACUGGAAGUGAGACAGGGUCCAGACUCCUACGGGAGGCAGCAGCAGGGAAUCUUCCGCAAUGGGCGAAAGCAUGACGGAGCAACGCCGCGUGAGUGAUGAAGGUCUUCGGAUCGUAAAACUCUGUUAUUAGGGAAGAACAUAUGUGUAAGUAAAUGUGCACAUCUUGACGGUACCUAAUCAGAAAGCCACGGCUAACUACGUG